AUUCAAUCAGACAUAUGACGCUCUUCACACACACAGCAGACACAUGGUGGCAUAUCUUUACAAGUAAAGAGUCCACCCAGUCUGCGACAUGCUACACCCAUUACUGUUUACCGCCGCGGCUUUCAACAUCUCUGUCACCGUGAUCUACUGGCUCACCCUCCUCAACGAUCUCUAUGACAAGUGGAAGUCAGAGCCAGAAGACAUGCCCAAGAAGCCCACUGUUGCCCCGGCUGAAGGAGUCUGAACUGACUGAAAUGUAGUCAACCAAUGCGACCCAACCUGUAGCUUUGAAACUGAUUUGGUAAUUUCAUCUGGAGAAGGUUUGGAGCCACACUAAUUGAAAUAAAUGGACUGAAGCUGAAUCUGCAAAGGAACAAGAAAGACAACAUUUUUACAGGAUCUGUAUGAAAAGUGGAAGUCAGACCAAGAAUAUGUCAUCAAGGAGCCUGAACCCAAGAAGACUGAGGAAGUCUGAAUCAGUAUGGACCUGCCUGACUGAAAAGACUGUAUGUAAUUUCAUCUAGAUUAUAUCAGUCAACCAGGGCAUUCGUAAUGUAAUGUUUGUAAUUUUGUAAUUUCAUGUGGAGAAGAUUUGGUAUCUAUUGUUAAAUUCAAAUUAAUGGACUGAAGGGAAUCUGCAGAGGAAUGAGGAACAUAACACAAAAUAACAGGUCAUCAAACAUUUUAGCUGCCCAGCGCUUUUUUGGACAUUUCUUAUUUAAAAUCGAACGCAAGACUGUUUGCAUUACCCACGUAUAUAUAUGGACAUUCACAGUAAUAUUCACAUUAAUAUUCACAGCAUAAUGUACGCCUAUGUUUACUGCAGUUUUAUCCUCAGUAAUAAGCAGCUGAAGAGGAUUAUAGCACUGCAGGGACAAAGUUAUGGCAGCCAGUGGAAAAAGUGAGUGAGAGUGGAGGGAGGGAGGGAGGGAGGGACGGGGGGUGAACAUAGACGUGAUUCAGUCAGACGUCUGAAAAGACACUCAACAGUCACACAGCAGACAAACAGAGUGACAUAUAUUCAAGAGUGAAGAACCCAGCCAGUGUGCACCAUGACCCACCCGCUGCUCAUCAGCAUUUUGACCGUCAACACCUCUCUGGCUAUCUUCUACUGGGCCAUCCUCAUCAAUAACCUCUACCAAAUGUGGAGGCCAGACCACAGAUACACCCUGAAACAGCUCAACGAGUUUGAACAAGUCUGAUGCUGUGAGGACCAAACCGGCUGAAGUGGCUGCACAUAAUUUCAUCUAGGACUAGUCAACCAGGGCAAUCCAGCCUGUAGAGCUUCAGUGUCUGAUUUAAAAAAAAAAAAAAAAAAAAAUCAUCUGGACAAGUUUUGAUAUCCCUUGUUAAAUUCAAAUUUAUGGACUGAAAGGAAUCUGCAAAGGAACGAGGAGGGAAACAUUCUUACAGAGUCAUCAGUUUGCCCCUUGCACAAUUCUGGAGUUCACACACAAGCUAAACAACACAGCCGACGAGAAGUUUCGGCUCUCCAUUGCAAGACUGGAUUCUUGGCCCAAAACCAGUUCAAGAUGACUCUGAGGGAGGAAGCACAGAGAUAAAGGAGGAGCAGCGGGCAAGCAUUUCCUGUGUGCUGGUGGAGGAAGACAGAUUGAGGAUGGAGAAGGAGAGGGAGGGGGUGUUGCCAGGGCUGGGAGCUGGAAGCUGCCGUCCCUCUAUCGCCCCGCUAAGAAGCUCUAUCACUUCUUACCCGGGGGAAAAGAGAACAUCCACUCAUAGUGUGUCCUUCGCUUGUCCAGUGACCCCUUACGUCACUUCCCUCUGAGUUUUUCAAUGCCAUUUUCUCACACAAAUCACUCAGUCCGUUUUUUUGCCACCAUUUCAAUUUCCCAUGAGCGCAAACAUACAUGUCCCCUGUUUAUUGUAGUGAUGCUUCAGAAAAGGCACUUGAUAUACUGGAAAUGUUCAGCACUUUAAAUUUGUCCUUGUUUUACUUCAAGAGAUGUAAUUGUUCCCUUACUUUGUAAAAUAUUUUGUAAAUUAAUUAUUCCAGUCAUGUUCCAGUACUUUAUUUUUUCACUCUGCACAAUUUCUCAAGAAUUUCCCACAAAUGAUAUUACAAACUAAUGAUAGUUUUCAGAAAUGCUUGUCUGGUCACUGUUACAACCACAGCAGUCACAGUCUGUUAUCUGGCAGGAGCACUGAUGUUUUUCUCAUAGUACUUCUGCAUAAAUGCCACCUGAGCCUGAGAUGUAAGAAAAAAAGUGCAUUUGCGUAUAGACAGUGUAAAAUUUAAUGUUUUGUGGCAGUGAACUGAGUUCAGUUCACUGUCAUUUCAACAGGGUGGGGAUUACAAGAAAAGGCUGUCAGAUCUUUCCAAGAAAAUAUCAAGAAAAUCGGAAUAAAUUGCAAAUGAAUCGCAAUUUCUAUUUACUUAUUGGUCAGACUGAGAGUGGACUGUCCCCCGCUGAGCUGUAUAUCCAACGCAACAAACAAAGCCGUUAUUUUCCCAAUGCAUCACACGUGUUACUGUAAUCUGUCCAUCAAGUACAAGUACAUGUUUUCCUGUUCUGCUGUUGGAUUAAGCUUGUGUCUAAUAAAGGACUGAACAACA